AAGAAAGGCCCGAGCGGCGGCCUGGGCCUCCAGUGUCCUACUGCGCCAAGCGCUGCGAGCCGCAGAGAACAGCAGAGUGCGCAGGAAAAAUUGUGGCUGAAGCGCAGGUGUUGCCGAGUUUCACAGCACUGAAGGGAGAACAGAAAAACAGUGGUUCCUCGCUUUCUCCGGGACGUUAGUGGGCCAAGGAGAAAUGUGUUUUGCUAAGUGGUUUUGCGAAGAAACAGAGAGCAGUGAUGAUGUCGAGGCCCUGACUACCAAGAAGUUCAAAGGCGACCUGGCCUACAGACAAGGAGAGUACCAGAAAGCGCUGCAGGAGUAUUCCAGUAUCGCUGAGAAAUUGUCGCCUACCAAUUUUUCCAUGAAAAGGGACAUCCAGGAAGGCCAGGCUCGGUGUCUGGCUCACCUGGGGAGGCACCAGGAAGCCCUGGAGAUUGCUACCGAGCUGGAAAAUAAAGCGACCAACACAGACCAUUUAACCACUGUGCUGUACCUCCAGUUUGCUAUUUGCUCAAGUUUGCAGAACUUGGAGAAGACAAUUUUCUGCUUGCAGAAACUGAUUUCUUUGCAUCCUUUUAAUCCCUGGAACUGGGGCAAGUUGGCAGAGGCUUACCUGAGUCUGGGGCCAGCUCUCUCCACUUCACUUGCGUCAGCUCAGAAACAGAAUGGUUUCACGUCAAGUGACGAGACGAUCAAGUCCUCCUCUCCACACUCAGGACGAGACCAUCUUCUGUGUUUGCCUGAAACCUUGCCUGCGAGCUCUGUGUCUCCUGUGGAAGCAAGGAGCAGUCAUAGCCUGGAAAAUGAGGAUGCCCUUAAGAGUAUUCGACACUGCGUGGCAGGAGAGAGAGACGAAGCGCUGCUGGAGACUCAGAUGAAAGCCUGUGCAUCAUUUAUACGAACCAGGCUUUUGCUUCAACUCACCCAGUCGCAGCAAACAUCGUUUGCUUUGGAGAAGAACUUAAGGACGCAGCAGGAAAUCGAAGACAGAGUGAAAGGGUUUGGCUUCAAAGAAGACACGUUGCUGUUGAUAGCUGAGGUUAUGGGAGAAGAUAUCGUCCCAGAAAAAAUAAAGGACGAGGUUCAUUCCGAGGUGAAGAGUGUUGGGCACGCGGCCCUGGCUGCCUUGGUGACGGCCUCCUCCCAAGAAUUCGAAGACAGAUGGUUCAGAAGGAUCAGAGACCACUUCUGGCCCUUUGGAAACCAGCUCGGCUCACAGACGCACGUCCUGGCUUCGUGCUCCUGCUGAGAAAGAAAUGGGAAAAUGUCUCGUACUGGGUCGGUUGUCCUUGUUUGCUUCAGUCGGGAUCCACUGGUGCUCGUGGAAUACAGGGGAUUUAAAAUGAUUUGUACUUUAGAAAAAUGGCUUCUCGGGUGAUUUCUGCUAUACUCGGUUUCUUUAUCGUUUUCCUUUUAGGGUUGUCCUGUUCUGACAAGUACUGCAGCUUCCACCUGCUACCCCUCAGCAGAUCGCUUUGGGAAAGUCUGAAAGGGCACUGAGCUUUUGUGGUCUUUUAAGACACUUGCUGUCCUGCAGCCAGCAGUGUGGGAAUCCACAUGGCUUGGAGAAGUUCCUCAGGGAGGACCUAGAAAGUUGUCUAAGAGUGUGUCGGGACUACAAGGAGACUGAGGUUUUGCCUCCUAGGAAGCUGACAAGUCGGCCUGCCAGUUUCCUGUGCGCUGGCAGAAGACAGCAGGCGUCUGCGUCAGAGACGGCGGAUUCUAUUGCUCAGGCCCAGCAGCCCGUAUCAGCGGCUCCUGCUCCCAGGUCCCGGGAGGUGGGCACGUCGGGGUGCAAAGGAGUGCUUGCUGUCCCAUGCAGCGGACACGCUUUGCCGCCUCUGUGAUGUGGGUGCCGUGGGCCACGUUCCAGGAGCGGAACCCUAACUUUAGGAAACCCAAGUCUUUUUUGGAAAAAAAAAAAAGAUUAAUUUAUUUUAAAAAGUUACAGAGAAAAGAGGAAGAGACAUACACACAGAGAGAAAGUUUCUAUCCGCUGGUUCACUCCCCCAAAUGGCUGUGAUGGCCAGGGCUGGGCCAGGCCAAAGCCAGGAGCCUGGAACUCCAUCCGGAUGUCCCACAUGAGUGGCAGUGGAAGUGGAGCGCCCAGGACUCGAACCAGUGCUCAUAUUCUGGUGUUACAGGGGCGGCUUAACCUGCUGUGCCACAAUGCCAGCCCCCCGAAUCUUUUACAAUGGCUGGGACUCCAACUGUUGUGUUUGUAUCCCAAGGCAAGAUACACGGCAUCUCACUAAAUUGUUGAACAGAAUCGUUGAAUUAAUAGGCCAGCGUCUUCCUUUGUGUGAAAGGCUGAUGCCCACAGAGGUGACACCACGUGGAGGCAGUCCAGCGUCCUGCCUGUUGCCCUCUGUGUGCGAACUUCUUCCUCCUGCUCAUCUAGGCGGCCUAGAAAGGCCCCCGGUUCUCCCCCUCCUCUCACCUUCUGGCCUCCAUCCCAGCCCCCUGGACAACUUCGCCCAUGGCUUGAGCUUUUAGCCCUCUGGCUUGCCUCCCAGGCCCAGCAUCCACACCAAGCUGAGUGUCUGUGUGCUGUGUGGGAUCCUGAUCAUGACUCACCUUUGGCAGCAGCGUGUUGGAGCGAGUGUGAGCUGCCUCCUGCCCCCUGACCCCUGGGCUGCGGCGAAGGCUGGGAAGGGCACCUGGAACGCAGCUCCGCUGUGUGUCAUCACACGGAAGUCGUCAUGGCCACGUCCAGCACCGAUGGUGAAGGAAAUUGAGCAACAAUGAUGACAUGCUAAAGAAGAUUCCUCGGGCUGCCCGUUCAGACACCACCAGCAUCCUGUUGGCGAGUGAGUCACCCAGGAGGCGAGCAGAGAUGUGAGUGCACCCCAGCCGGGCGCGUGGGACACAAGGGCAGGUCCUUGCUCCAUGCGCCCAAAACCCUCGUCAGUGUUUGCUCCCAAGGGGGCUCUGUGCUGGGGAUUUGUGGUGGGAGCCUUGUCCCUUCAGUGCUGACACCCUACAGUCUUCACUCUGGAGCCAGAGCGUUCUUACAGAGGUGGCCCCACGGUCCUCCAUGAGGCCUGGCCCUGGCCCCCAUCCCAGGCUCUCUGCUGCUCCAGCUUCUCCCAUGCCUCCAGCCUCCCGCUCUGUGAGCCCUUUGUCUGGUUGGUUACCUCUGCUUGGAACAUCCCCCCUGCAGUCCCCUCCCCUUGCCAUAAACUUCCUUCUGCAGCCGUCAGCCCCAAGGUCACCCUCAUUCCCGGACUCGCUCAGGUUCCCCUCCAAGUGCAACACUGACCUGCGCUUGUUUUUCCGGAGUGCUUAUUGGAAUUAUAGUGAAGUCACUGUAUGAUUCCUCCCUGCAAGGUCAGCAGCCCUGGGACUGCCUCUCUGGUUUGCCCUUUUAUGGUGGAGCUCAGCGUUGUGAACAUGCCCUGACUUCUGAUGCUGCUGCCUUCCUGGGGCUCCAGGCCAUCCCUGCAGCCCACUGCCAGCGCCAGACACACCUUCGCCCGCCUGUGCAGUGCCGGGUUUGCUUUAAGAGGACAUUGGGUAAAAACCUCUCCAAGGGGCUAGCAUUGUGGUGCAGAGGGUUAAGCUGCCGCCUGCAGUGCUGGCAUCCCAUAAUGAGUGCUGGUUGGAGUCCUGGCUGCUCUACAUCCUAGCCUCCCUGCUAAUGCGUCUGGGAAAGCUGCGGAAAAUGGCCCAAGGCCUUGGGCCCCUGCCACCCAUGGAGGAGACCUGGAUGGAGUUCUGGGCUCCCGGUUUUGGCUUGGCCAUUGUGGCCAUUUAGACAGUGAGCUAGUGGAUGGAAGAUCCCUGUCUCUCUCUCUCUCUUUGUAACUCUGCCUUUCAAGUAAAUAAAUAAAUCUUAAAAAAAAACUUCUCCAAGAUGAAUCCAAAGCCCCCAUUUACAAAAUGAUUAAAUAGCAGUUCUCUAGCACUUCUGAAAUGUGACCCGUAAAAGUAGCUUACACCCCAUUUCCAGGGUCUUAAGCAAGCAAGCCUACCAAGUGCGUAUGGGUCAGCUUUUGUGUCUACGGCUGAGCACCUGAGACAAGCCACUUCUGAAGGAAGGGGGUGGCGUGGGGCUCACAGUUCGGAAGG